AUUGAACGCUGGCGGCAGGCCUAACACAUGCAAGUCGAACGAGCGGCGGACGGGUGAGUAAUGUCUGGGAAACUGCCUGAUGGAGGGGGAUAACUACUGGAAACGGUAGCGAAUACCGCAUACCAUCAGAUGUGCCCAGAGGGGAUUAGCUAUGAGGUGGGGUAACGGCUCACCUAGGCGACGAGCCCUCGCUGGUCUGAGAGGAUGACAAGCCACACUGGAACGGAGACACGGUCCAGACUCCUACGGGAGGCAGCAGUGGGGAAUAUUGCACAAUGGGCGAAAGCCUGAUGCAGCCAUGCCGCGUGUGUGAAGAAGGCCUUCGGGUUGUAAAGCACUUUCAGCGGGGAGGCGUUACCCGCAGAAGAAGCACCGGCUAACUCCGUGCCAGCAGCCGCGGUAAUUC
rnacentral:rRNA from 1 species